rnacentral:rRNA from 1 species
AGAGUUUGAUCCUGGCUCAGGACGAACGCUGGCGGCGUGCCUAAUACAUGCAAGUCGAGCGAACAGAUAAGGAGCUUGCUCCUUUGACGUUAGCGGCGGACGGGUGAGUAACACGUGGGCAACCUACCCUAUAGUUUGGGAUAACUCCGGGAAACCGGGGCUAAUACCGAAUAAUCUGUUGUCUCUCAUGAGACAAUACU